GUCUUUGCUGCUGUCGCCUAAGAGGUGGACACAGCUCCCGAGGACUUACGCUAGAAGCCAAGCCAGUCUCCUCACCUGAAAAAUGGGAAGAGCAAAAUAUCCUACCCUAGAGGGUUGCUGUGAGAGCCGAAAGCGUCUAUCCACGUGAAGCACAUGGGACAGAGCCUGGCACAAAGAAAAUGCUUCCCAGCAAUGGAAAGCCCUGAUGGAGCCCGGUGUAAACUAUGCAGGGUGCCAGAGCCC
rnacentral:lncRNA from 1 species